AACGCACCUUGCGCCCCUUGGUUUUCCGAGGGGCAUGCCUGUUUGAGUGUCAUGUUUAUCUCAAUCUCCUUGUCUUCUUAAUUGAGGUCUCGGGGCUUGGAUUUGGAGGCCUUGCUGGCAGUUAUGUCGGCUCCUCUUAAAUACAUUAGCUGGACUUUGGUUCGCGUUACUGGUGUAAUAGAUUUAUGUCCGCCAGACGCUUGCCUAAUGGGUCUGCUUCUAAUCGUCCUCGGACAAGGUCUUUGACCUUCUUGACACCUUUGACCUCAAAUCAGGUAGGACUACCCGCUGAACUUAA
rnacentral:misc_RNA from 2 species